UACGAAGGGGGCUAGCGUUGCUCGGAAUUACUGGGCGUAAAGCGCGCGUAGGCGGCUCUGCAAGUCGGGGGUGAAAUCCCGAGGCUCAACCUCGGAACUGCCUUCGAUACUGCGGGUCUCGAGUCCGGGAGAGGUGAGUGGAAUUCCUAGUGUAGAGGUGAAAUCCGUAGAUAUUAGGAAGAACACCAGUGGCGAAGGCGGCUCACUGGCCCGGUACUGACGCUGAGGCGCGAAAGCGUGGGGAGCAAACAGG
rnacentral:rRNA from 1 species